GAUGGUAUGAGUCAGUGGUGGAGUGCCUGGCUAGUAAGCAGAAGAUCAUGAGUUCAAACCCUUGUGCCAUCA
rnacentral:tRNA from 1 species